rnacentral:rRNA from 1 species
CCCUUAGAGUUUGAUCAUGGCUCAGGAUGAACGCUAGCGGCAGGCCUAACACAUGCAAGUCGAACGGUAACAGGGAGAAGCUUGCUUUUCCGCUGACGAGUGGCGCACGGGUGCGUAACGCGUAUACAAUCUACCUUUUGCUGUGGGAUAGCCCAGGGAAACUUGGAUUAAUACCGCAUAGUAUAUAAGAUCGGCAUCGUUUUUAUAUUAAAGGUUACGGCAAAAGAUGAGUAUGCGUCCUAUUAGCUAGAUGGUGUGGUAACGGCACACCAUGGCGACGAUAGGUAGGGGCCCUGAGAGGGGGAUCCCCCACACUGGUACUGAGACACGGACCAGACUCCUACGGGAGGCAGCAGUGAGGAAUAUUGGGCAAUGGAGGCAACUCUGACCCAGCCAUGCCGCGUGCAGGAAGACUGCCCUAUGGGUUGUAAACUGCUUUUAUACGGGAAGAAACACCGCUACGUGUAGCGGCUUGACGGUACCGUAAGAAUAAGGAUCGGCUAACUCCGUGCCAGCAGCCGCGGUAAUACGGAGGAUCCAAGCGUUAUCCGGAAUCAUUGGGUUUAAAGGGUCCGUAGGUGGAUAAUUAAGUCAGAGGUGAAAUCCUGCAGCUCAACUGUAGAAUUGCCUUUGAUACUGGUUGUCUUGAGUCAUUGUGAAGUAGUUAGAAUAUGUAGUGUAGCGGUGAAAUGCAUAGAUAUUACAUAGAAUACCGAUUGCGAAGGCAGAUUACUAACAAUGUACUGACACUGA